GAUGAAGAACGUAGCGAAAUGCGAUAAGUAGUGUGAAUUGCAGAAUUCCGUGAAUCAUCGAAUCUUUGAACGCACAUUGCGCCUUCUGGUAUUCCGGAAGGCAUGCCUGUUCGAGAGUCAUUAACAACCGUUUCGAUCCCUUUCUUUCAGAAAUUACAAAGAGGAAAAGGGUUUGGUUAUGGUGGAGGAGGGAAAGGGAGCGUUUAGCCUGUAAAAAAAGAGGCUGUGUUCCGCCUCCCCCCCAAAAUUGUACAGGCGGUCGUGUGCGCCCACGCAUCGAGGUGUUGUAAAAGCUGCCACGGCACUUUUCACCUGUGCAGUGCGAGAUUGACCAGCCGGUUUAAAAACCCCUCCAAACAAUCAAAGGUUGACCUCGGAUCAGGUAGGGAUACCCGCUGAACUUAAGCAUAUCAAUAAGCGGAGGA
rnacentral:misc_RNA from 1 species